rnacentral:lncRNA from 1 species
CACUAAUCUCUUGUAAUUUAUUAAAGUACAAAUAGUUAUGUGUAAUAGCAGUUUAUGUGUGUAAAAUACUGUGUGCAUCACCGUGUUCUAAUUUAGUGAAAGAAAAAUUGCCACUGUUGUUCCUUUGGUGAUGGUACAAAACACCUAUAUGGAUACCCGCGGAAUAAUUUAAAAUAAGACCUUAAUUUCUAAAGAAAUUUGAAAUGCCACCUUUUAACUCUUCCAAGAAGGUAGUGUGUAACACUCCUUUGUGUUAUAACAUUACACUUUGUCCUAGGAAACGGAACUUGUUGCCCUUUCAUUGGCUUUUAUCUUAUUCUUACUUAGAUCAUAUCAAUGCUCAGUUGAUAACAUGAGCACAAUGUGAAUUAACAAAAAAUGCCAGUCUGCCUUCAGCCGCACUUGUUUCACUUCCACAUUUUCCUGUUGGGAGCUGCAACCCUCUUUGUCUAAUGGAUGGAAAUACAGACAAAACAGAAAUGUGCUUCUUCGUAUUCAAAUUUGUAAGUCAAAAGAUUUGCAAAAGGUUUGCACAUACAAACUGCCCCCUGCAAAAUGUCCGAAUGGAUUGCUAGGAACUCUCCUGAGCGCAGUUCUUGCAGGUUAAACGGCUGGAAAAAGUCUUCCUUGAACUGUUGAUACCUUGGCAACUUUGUAUUGAGUGCUCUAGCUGUGUAACACUGUUUCACCACGAGAAAGUGAUCUGGCUCUGUAAUCUGACUGCGGUGUCAUUUACACGGCAGGUUUAUGGCGGCAGGAGUCUCAGAGGACUUGCGGGCCAGAAUUCCACCCACCCUUUCAGCGAUGAUACCGACCAGGAUGGCUCUCACUUAACCAGAGGGACUGCUGUGAUGGAAGAGAAGAUGGCAGUGGUGAACGUGAAACGAGUACAUUGGGGUUUUUGCAUGAUGUUUGGGAGAGAAAUCUGCUUCACAUGCGGUGUCUGAACCUUGGAGUGACAAAACAUGUCUCAGUCAGGUGAAAAAGUAAAGGUAAAGAGAUGGCUGCAUGGCCAAAACUUUGUUUAGAAUCUAUUUAACUUCUAAAAUACUUGUGAUUUUAUUGAAGUGGUAAAACAGUGAAUAAAUGAUACCUUAUUGCUUCAUAUGUGGUUCUCAAAAGGAUCUGCUUGGUAGAAACAGAGCUUGCAUGUGUUUCUAGAAAUAGGCUUUCAGGUGAUUGCCAGAUUCAGUGUUUGCUUACAUAUUUAGAAUGGUGCCUUUAUCUAAGGAAAGUUAAUUUGAUGAACCUUCAUUUCUUAUGUAUUGCCCCAUCUGAG